rnacentral:rRNA from 1 species
GAUGAACGCUGGCGGUCUGCUUAACACAUGCAAGUCGAACGGGCUCUUUCGAGAGCUAGUGGCGGACGGGUGAGUAACGCGUGCGAAUCUGCCCUUAUGAGGGGGAUAACGGUUGGAAACGAACGCUAAGACCCCAUAUGCCGGUAGGUGAAAUAGUUUACUGCCUGAGGAUGAGCUCGCGUCCGAUUAGCUAGUUGGUGGGGUAAGAGCCUACCAAGGCGACGAUCGGUAGCUGGUCUGAGAGGAUGAUCAGCCACACUGGGACUGAGACACGGCCCAGACUCCUACGGGAGGCAGCAGUGGGGAAUUUUCCGCAAUGGGCGAAAGCCUGACGGAGCAAGACCGCGUGAGGGAAGAAGGCCUGUGGGUUGUAAACCUCUUUUGAUAGGGAAGAAGUUCUGACGGUACCUAUCGAAUCAGCCUCGGCUAACUCCGUGCCAGCCGCCGCGGUAAUAC